CGUCUAUAUACGUAUAGCAUAUCAAUAAGCGGAGGAAAAGAAACUAACAAGGAUUCCCUUAGUAACGGCGAGUGAAGCGGGAAGAGCUCAAAUUUGAAAUCUUCAAGGUUCUACCUUGACGAAUUGUAGUUUAUAGAAGUGUUUUCUGUUAGUGGAGUGGCAAAAGUUCUUUGGAAUAGGACAUCAUAGAGGGUGAGAAUCCCGUAUUUGGUCAUUCCUCCUAGCGUUGUGAUACACUUUCAACGAGUCGGAUUGUUUGGGAAUGCAGUCCAAAAUGGGUGGUAAAUUUCAUCUAAAGCUAAAUAUUGGCGAGAGACCGAUAGCGAACAAGUACCGUGAGGGAAAGAUGAAAAGAACUUUGAAAAGAGAGUUAAACAGUACGUGAAAUUGUCAAAAGGGAAGCGUUUGACACCAGUGUUGUUUUUCCGAAAAUCAAUUACGAAUGUUUUGUUUUUGAGGAGUUAUGACUUCAUCGGCUUGCUCCUUUCUUUAUGAAACUUUCUUAAUGCACUUUUCGGUUAACAAGUCAACAUCAAUUUCUUUUGUUGUAAAAGGAGUAUGCGGAAGGUGGCUUUCUUUUCGGAGAAAGUGUUUAUAGCCCUAUGACUUCUACAAUCGGAGAGAUUGAGGUCUGCAGCGUAGAUCCUUCGGGGUUAGAUACAGUUUGUGCUAAGUUAUAGCCUUUUCAUAGACAACUUGUUGACUAUGAUCAGUCAUGUAGCUUACUCGCUGAUGCUAUUUUACCUACGCUUAGGAUGUUGACUGAUAUGUAGUCGUA
rnacentral:rRNA from 1 species